rnacentral:rRNA from 1 species
AGAGUUUGAUUAUGGCUCAGGAUGAACGCUAGCUACAGGCUUAACACAUGCAAGUCGAGGGGCAGCAUUGGGGUAGCAAUACUCAGAUGGCGACCGGCGCACGGGUGAGUAACACGUAUCCAACCUGCCGCUUACUCGGGGAUAGCCUUUCGAAAGAAAGAUUAAUACCCGAUGGUAUAAAGAGUUCGCAUGUUCUCUUUAUUAAAGAAUUUCGGUAAGCGAUGGGGAUGCGUUCCAUUAGAUAGUUGGCGGGGUAACGGCCCACCAAGUCUACGAUGGAUAGGGGUUCUGAGAGGAAGGUCCCCCACAUUGGAACUGAGACACGGUCCAAACUCCUACGGGAGGCAGCAGUGAGGAAUAUUGGUCAAUGGACGAGAGUCUGAACCAGCCAAAAGUAGCGUGAAGGAUGACUGCCCUAUGGGUUGUAAACUUCUUUUAUAAGGGAAUAAAGUGAGGGACGUGUCCCUUUUUGUAUGUACCUUAUGAAUAAGGAUCGGCUAACUCCGUGCCAGCCGCGGC